UCUCUAACUUCUCUCUAACCUCCCUAAACCCCUCCCAAGUCUAGGGAACCUCCCUAUCACGAGAAGAAAGCCCCGGAGCGCCCGACGGCUCCGAGAAGAAAAGCUUUCGGCUCGGAAACGCUGCUCCAGCGAAGCCCGGUUUUUAAUAAAAACCCGCUGUAAGUGAGUUACGCCUAUAGUAUAUUUAAUAUAGAUUUUAUUUAAUUAUAGUAACAUUGUUAGGACCUUAAAAUAAUUAUUUAGGCUAUUAUUAUGAGUUAUAUUGAGUGUUAUUUAACGCUUAUAUAAUAGUAAUAAUAGCUAGACUAUUAAAUUAGUCUCGUCAAGCGUUAGACUAAACUCUAGUGGUAAUGAUACUAGGUUUCGUCAAGGGAUAAUUGUUUUAAGAGUAACGAAGUGCUGUCCGAGUGCCGACUCACCACCUUUCAGGUGACGAAGUGAAGUGACAUUACACUGAGAGAUUUAAAAGAGAUGUAGAUCACUAGUGUAAAUCAUUGUACUAGUGAUGAGCACGGGAAGGCGCCGGCAUGAUUCGUACACACACGCAUUGGAGUUUUUGUAGAGAUUCUGGGGAGAUGUUUUGUGAUAAUAACAAUUGUUACAAUGUGUUUGACAUUAUUUUAUGAAUGAAUGAAUGUUUUAAAAACGAAAAAUUAUUUUGAAAAUUCAUGUUGUUACAUAUUACUAAUAAAGUAAUAAUAUAUGAUACAACUAAU